UCGUGAAGUAUCGCUCAAGGCGAGAGAGAGACUGACAUCGCCCAAAAUGAGAAUUGAAUAGUUUACUGAACUUGGGACGAUUAUUGGUGUGCAACAUGGUUGUAACUUUUAGAAUUCCAAGGUAACGUCUGACGCUGUAUGCGUGGUUAAAGAGAACUGUUUCCGGCCUAUAGUUUAAAAACAACAUGUCUGUGAGUGCAAGUGCAGAAAACUUGUCGAGUGACAAUCAAAGCUCAGGAGACGGAGGCACUAUGUGCCUGGAACUGGCACUCGAAGGAGAAAGGCUUUGCAAGGCAGGAGAUUGUCGAGCAGGAGUUGCAUUCUUUCAGGCAGCAAUUCAAGCAGGCACCGACGACCUAAGAACACUAAGUGCUAUCUACAGCCAACUUGGGAAUGCGUAUUUUUACCUUGGAGACUAUGUUAAGGCAAUGCAGUAUCACAAACAUGAUCUGACACUUGCACGCACCAUGGGAGAUAAAUUAGGAGAAGCAAAAUCAAGUGGAAACCUGGGAAACACAUUGAAAGUUAUGGGGAAAUUUGAUGAGGCUAUGAUAUGCUGCAAGCGACAUUUAGAAAUAUCUCGGGAACUUGGUGAUAAGUUAAGUGAAGGACGAGCACUUUACAAUCUUGGUAAUGUAUAUCAUGCAAAAGGAAAACACAUUGGGCGAGUAGGGCAGCAAGAUCCAGGAGAAUUUCCAGAAGAUGUUAGAUCAUGUCUCCAGGAAGCUGUGAAGUACUAUGAGGAAAACUUGCAGUUGAUGAGAGAACUGAAUGAAACAGCAGCUCAGGGUCGUGCAUGUGGAAAUCUUGGGAAUACCUAUUACUUACUUGGUGAUUUCCAGAAAGCCAUACACUAUCAUGAGGAGAGAUUGAAAAUUGCGAGAGAAUUUGGUGAUAAGGCUGCAGAAAGGAGAGCCAAUAGCAAUUUAGGUAAUUCUCACAUAUUCCUUGGUGAAUUUGAAGCUGCAGCAGAACAUUACAAGAGAACAUUAGUGCUAGCACAAGAAUUGGGAGACCGAGCUGUUGAGGCUCAAGCAUGUUAUAGUUUGGGUAAUACUUAUACCUUACUUCGAGAUUAUCCGACUGCUAUUGAAUAUCAUCUACGCCAUUUAAUCAUUGCACAGCAGCUGAUGGAUAGAGUUGGAGAAGGACGAGCAUGUUGGAGUCUGGGUAAUGCGCACUCUGCAAUGGGUAACCAUGAAAAGGCACUUUACUUCGCAAGUAAACAUCUGGAAAUUUCAAAAGAGCUUGGCGAUACCAUGGGUCAAGCAACAGCUCAGAUGAAUGUGUCGGAUCUGCGCAAGGUCCUAGGUCUGCCAGUCACUGACUUGUCUCCAGAGAGUCAGCAGCUCCUGACAUCACUGUCUGACCAGGGAUCACCAGCUUGUUUACGCAGAUAUAGGUUAACACCUGAAAACAAACAGAAACCUAAUGGGGACUUGUCAAACAACCAAUCUGAAACAGCUGCACAAGAAUGUCAGCAAUCAGCUGCUACUGCUGCUGCCACUGCCCCAGCUGAUGAAACAAAGACAGAACAUAUGGAAGACGAGGAAUCAUUUUUUGAUCUACUUUCUCGUUUCCAAUCAAAAAGAAUGGAUGACCAGCGGUGUUCGCUCAGUGUUGCCGACAACAAGGAGAAUAAUCAUAACAACAAUCUUACUCCUAACAAUCUAUUAAGUUGCGCUACGGGAAAUAGACCAGUCCCUCUCAAUAAUGCUGCCAUUACAUCAAACAAGGAAAAUGCUGUUUCAAAUGCAGGGAAUGGAGACUCAUCAAAAGUGCAAGAGGAGUUGCUAGACCUAAUUGCAGGCAUGCAGAGCAAGCGAAUGGAUGAACAAAGGGUUGCUUUGCCACAUUUACCAGGACUGCUUCCACCAUCACAAGUACAGAGGCUUUCACUUGGUUCUGCUCCAGAUGAUACCUUCUUAGAGAUGCUGAUGCGUUGUCAGAGUUCCAGAUUAGAGGACCAACGCAGUUCUCUGCCCACUGAUGAUAAUGAAACUGAAGGAGAAGCUCGAACACACUCUGCUGCUCGAGGUGCUACUGUUCCUGAUGAAGACUUUUUCUCACUCAUUAUGCGUUUGCAGUCUGGUCGCAUGGAAGACCAGCGUGCUUCUGUCCCUGUUGUCCCGACUGCCCCUGCGCCACUUGCAGAGAACAGACAAGCUUCAAGAAAGGACAAGAAGAAAUGACUAACACUGUCUGCCCCUCCUUCUUUGGAACGCUAGGGGGCAUUUGAACAGCUGAAUCAACAUUACAAAUCUUUGCUGCUUCCAUUACCGACUGAUGGGAAAGUCAUGCGUGACAAAGACUGCAGUAUUGCCAAGUCAUUUCAGCUUCAUUUCAUUUACUUAGAAAUCUGUAUGGAUUCUGAUAAGGAGAUUUGUGGACUCAUGUCUCAUUACUGGUUCUGAAGUAGUGUUAGAAUAUUUAAAAAAGAAAAGCAAACAGUGAAAAUUGAUUUUGGAUAGUGUGUGUGUGUGUGUGUGU
rnacentral:misc_RNA from 1 species